CACCGCGGUCAUACGAUUAACCCAAACUAAUUAUUCUCGGCGUAAAACGUGUUACUGGGCUUACAAAAAAUAGAAUUAAAAUCCAUCCAAUAUGUGAAAAUUCAUCGCUGGACCUAAGACCAAUGACGAAAGUAAUUCUAAUUCACCUGAUACACGAUAGCUAAGACA
rnacentral:rRNA from 1 species